UUGGGAGCUCAUUGGCUUCGGAGUCAUGGGAACUCCGAAGUUAAGCGAGUUGAGGCUAGAGCAAUUCCAGGAUGGGUGACUCACUGGGAAGUUGCUCGUGAGUUCCCAGA
rfam:Prunus persica cultivar Lovell chromosome G7, whole genome shotgun sequence.